CAGUUGCGGUUACUGCCCUUCAGCCGCUUCCCUUCCUCCUCUACUGGCGGUGGCCCGCGGCUGGGGCUGCUGGGGCGGUGAGCUUGGGGCGGCUGGGGCGGUAAGCGUGGCGCGGCUUCUUUCUGCUCUCCAGGAGGCGGAGGGAGCUGGACGCGGGGAUCAGCCGGCCGCGCUGCAGCAUCGCGGAGGCCGCAGGACGCCCGGCCGACAUCAUGGGCGGACGCCCACCUUGGGCGAGGCCCCGCGAGCGGCGGAGGCCAAGGAAGCUCUGGGGCUCGCGGCUCGCGGCGCGCGGCCGGGGUCAGCGCGGGUGGGCAGUCGGCCAAGCACCAGCCGUUUGCUUGCUUGGAUCCGGAGCGGUGGCGGCGGUAGCGCUUAGUCGCGGGCCCCUGGCGUUGUAGAUGGCCAGGCGCGUCGGAGGAAGCAGCCCCCCAGGCCGGCGGACUUCAAACUACAGGUCAUCAUCAUGGGCUCCCACGGGGUGGGAAGACCAGCCUGAGGAGUCCUUUCACUGAGGACACCUUCUGGAGGCCUGCAAGUCCACCGUGGUUAAGGCAUACUUAAACAAGCUCCACAGUGCAGUAUUCCUUGCCUAUUUUUUGUCAAAUAGCUCGUAGUGUGUGCUUACUUUAUUCAUUAACUUACUGUAUUACUCUUAUGAGACUGGUGUUGAUUUUAGGCUUGAAGAAGUUGUACUGGAUUAAGACUCUUACAACUCAAUCAUUUGUCCUUUGAACCCUCUUGCAUUUUUUCACACAUGAGCUUUUGAGGGACACCUCAUAUCCAAACCAUAACAGUGUCCAAAAGAGUUUCAUAUGUUUUAGUAAUACACCUAGAAACAAACUACAAAACGAAUUAUGUAGAGAGAAACAGGAAAAUAUGCACAGUAAAUGUUGGUAUCCUUUUUAUUUUAGUCUAAAAGGAGUAUUUUGCAGAAGGGUGUAAAUGAAAUGUAAACAUCAUCAUUUGGUCUAGAGGAAAGGGUGCUCAUGGGGACAGCAGGAAGACUAUGCCUAAUUUUAGUAUAAAAAGAGUUAUAAAAACUAUGAAGGGGUAAAGUCAAUCUAGAAGAUAUAUGGCAAGUACCUGCGAACCAGAGUAAGCCAGGUAAAGGACACUGAUUAGUGCAGCAGGAAAACCUAUGCCAGCCAAAGAAGGGAUUUGGCAUCAUAUAGGAGCCAUUCAAAUUUAUUAACAGAAACGCUACUUAAUGUCAUCAUUUAAGUCAUCACUUUGGCCACCCCUUCUAAAAAGGUAUCUUCUGUUGUACCUCUAAUGUCAAUUUUCUCUUCUUUUACUGUCAUCAACUAAAAUUCCAGUGGACUGGAGAACUUUGCCAACCCUGUAAUUCUGCCAAAAUCCUUCACCUGAAAGCUAUCCUUAGAAAAUGCUCUUUUAACAGGCUACCAGUUCUAUUUUUGAAUCUAGGCUAAAUAAAAUAUUCCCAAGUUUUCACCAUUAUGGAACAAUUCUUAGUGUGUUAACUUCUCAUUCAUUAGUUGAUUUGAUUGUUUCUUUUAAAUGGUAAUUUUCUUGGGGUAUUCUUAGAAUUUGAGAAAAAUGAGCAGAUCACAUCCCAAGUGAGCUGGCCAUCUCAAUUUCAUUUUUCUUUGCAGCUGAAACCAAAAAUUAUUCAUAAAAAUUCUACAGUUCUAACAUAAGUAACCUCAGGGGAGAGCAAAUGCAUCUAUCAAAUAAGCAAGGUUAAGGAUUAUUAAUGCAGAAGCCACUGUUUUCAUUGUCACCAUUAUAGCUUCAUUUGGCAAAACACAGUGGCAGAUCUUAUCUUUUACAUUUCACUUCUGCAAAAAUGAAAAUAUACUAAAUGCGAAAUUAUGAAUGUAAGUGUUAUGGCAGUAUCACAUUGGAAAAAUCACAUAAAGUUUUUUUCUGUUAGCUCUUUUUUAAAAAUUUUUAUUGUAAAGCAAAUGGGAUACAUGUUGUUUCUCUGUUUGUACAUGGAGUAAAGGCAUACCAUUUGUGUUUUGUAAUUAAAACUUACGCAGUAACCGCUGAAGGGAUGUCCAAUUCUCUCACUGUUGAAUAACUGAUUUUAUAAUGCUUAUUAUACAUUAUUGCCAGGAGCAACAGUAGUAGUAAUGGAUCAACAAUUUAGGGCCACUUUUAUGUAUGUAUCAAGAGCUUUAAAAUUAAUGUAUAAAUCUCAGGUUUGCGUUUUUUCACAUUCACAUUGCACCUCCAAUAUCUCCAGUUCUCAUGAAGUAAACUGCAGACUGAAGAACAUGACAGUGUAGCCCAGUGCCUGACUUUUCUGCAACUGGACCAUCCUGGGGCCACUCUCCUUUCCUUUGUCCUUCUGCUACUUGCUGUGACCCCACCACCCCCUCCCUCCCUCAGCUCCCAACCUGUCCAUCAAUAGUCCCAUCAGAUCAUUUCAGGACUGACAUGCACAGAGGCGACCCCCUGUUCUGGGAUUGUUCAGCUCCUUCACCAUCCUAGUCCUGGGUCCUCCUCAUUCUGUCCUAAGAUCUUUUGCCUAUAUAUUUACAUAUAAAGCACUAGGGACAACAGGAGUCCUCCUGGAUUUCAGAACUGUCCCCCAAGAGCAGCUUCAGUUUUUCCCACUCAGAUUCAGAGGGAAAUCUUGCUAGUUUCCAGACCAAACUACAGAAAUGUGAACAUUUAGAAACUAGAGAGGGGUAUCUGUGGCCAGGGUUAAGAUAAUCAAAGAGAUUAGUGUGGAAGCUUGGGUACAGUCUAUGAAAGUUGUCAGAAAUCAUAUAACCCAAUGGUUCCUGCCAGGUCAUCAGAAUCACCAUGAACCAUUCUGUGUUUUUAAAUGAAAUUCCCAGGUCCUUGCUUAGUUCUGUUGACUCAUAUUUUUUGAUAGUAGAAUAGAGAUAAUUUUUCUGAGUUUUUUAAUUAUUGCAUGUGUUACAGACUACAGUGUAACAAGGGAAGAGAAUAUGCCUCUUGGAUAUACAGGACAUAGAGUAUCACAGAAUCUGAGUUUCAUUAAGGACUAUAAUGUCAUCUAAUCUAAUCUCUUAUCUCUGGCCCAAUCUGCCUCCCUGUUACAACUUCCUUGAUGGGUGGUUGUCUAGCCUCUUCUAGAAAAUGCCCAUGUAUGGUGUCCUGUUAGAUAGUUCUUAUUAUUUCAACCCUUGUGAUGAGUUGAAAUAUGCUGCCUUAAGCCACCCACUGGUUCUAGGCAGUAUUCUCAUAUUGCAUUCUUGAUGCCUUACCAGUCCAUAGUAGAGCUGGAAAUAGUACUUAGGUUUUCUGAAUAUAUUCUAUGGAUUCAGUGUUUGGGGCUUACAGUGCCCCUACACUUUUUCCCCCUAUACCAUGUGUAAGUGUACAUUUUUAAAACACAGUGUUAGUACCAUUACCUUAAAAUAGAAAAAAAAAUAGGAAUAUAAAUGUAUUUUAGCUAGUCUGAAUAGUCUUCUAAGAAAAAUCUUUAAUAUACUGCUAUUCUUUAGUAACAUUGUCUUUAGAGACAACCUAACAUUUUUAGUCAUGCUUUUCCCAGAAACAAUAUCAUUAUUUCAAAUGUUAAAUCAUAGUUGAAACCAAAUCAAACCUUUUCUGUGUUUUUGAAGAUAAUCUUUUUAAAUCAAAGAUAAUUUAGCAACAGCACAAAACAUUCAGAAAUGAGAAAAAGGGAAAAUCCUACUCCUAAUUCUUCUACUUUUAAAAAACUACCCUUCAUUUUGGUAUGCGGCUAUAGAUUUUCUCAUCUUUUAAAUAAAUAUAUUGUUGAGAUACACAUACAGUUUUGAAUCCUACCUUUUCUACUUACUUUAUAUCAUAAGCAUUUUUCCAAGUUAUUGUAGUCAUCAGAACCAUUGUUUAUAAUUGCAUUAUAUUUUUUCACAAAGCUUAGUGAUGAAGAGAAUAGACUGCAGGCAGACUCCCUGGGCUUGUAUCCCAGCUCUGCCAUUUAUUGGCUCUGUGAUCCUGAACAAGUUAUUUGACUUGUUUGUGUCUUGGUUUUUCCAUUCUAUUAAAUGAAGAUAAUAUGAUUUAUCUCAUAGGGUUAUAAGAAGUAUAUUUACAGGUCUUGUUGUGCCUGACAUAUAGUAAAUUCUGUACAUGUUAUUUAAAAAAUUGCUGUUUCACCUUUAUAAUCGAGUGCACAUAUCAAAAAUUACUUAAGUAUAUCUGUUUGGACUUUAGGUUGCUUCUGUUUCUUGUCCCUGUAAAACUUUGAUGUAAGUGACAAAGUGUACCUUCUAAGAUAUACUUCAGAAUUAUUUUCAUAGGUUAUUUUACUCAAGUUUUUAAAACUUUUUAAUUGGUUUGUGCUCCUCUUGAAGGUACUUGUACUGCAUCUACACCUUUUGUAUUGCUGGGAAACGUUUUGGAUUGUCUUCCUUUGGAUCAAUGUGACACAGUAUUCACUUAUGGAAAAUAAUGUUGCUACACGGAAAUUAGUAAUUGUGUUAGUUUCUUUUCCUGCUAACAUUGUCUUUGAAUAGAUCCUGAGUUCUGAGAUUAAUUUUGUUUAUUUGAUUAUAUUUCUAAUAUUGCUGAUUGCCAAAAUGUUUGUCCCCAUGAAAGAAUUUUAUACUGUGCUGUCUUGGGAGAGCCAAAUAAGAAUCAUGUGGAGAAAAAUUUGAGUGCAAAGCUUGAUUGAGUAGUAAAAAGUAACCUGAAGAUACAUACUUUCAGGUGUUUAUAGCAGAUACUCAGUGUUGUGUUAUGUUAUAUUCCUGAACAUAUUUUUACUUUUUUGAAAAUGUUAUUAGGUUGACAAAAGUGAAAGCACAGUACAUUCUCAGUGCCCAAUAAUAUUUAAUAUUUUACUUCCUGUGACUUAUUAUUGAAGGGGGUGUGACAGCUUCUGAAGAAUAUUAAUAAUUUCUGUUAAAUUCCAUAGUACAUUCUGUUCUGCUGGGAAGAAUUAUUGUGGACGUGCAAUGAUCUUUUAAGAGAUAAUAUAAAUCUCAGAGUACAGUCUUCUGUGGACCAAUUCAACUCUUUUUGACCAGGCUUUUUCUUCUAUCUGAAAAAUCAGCACAUUGAGGAUAGAGAUGAGGGGAUGGAUAUAGAAGAAUGUGAAAUGGGAGAUGAUGAAGCUCCAACAACAUGGCAGGAUUCUCCCUGUGUUGCCCAGGCUACUCCUAGGCUCAAGUGAUUCACCUGCCUCAGCUUCCUCAGCAGUUGGAGCUACAGUUGCAGUUGAUUGUGCCCAGCUUGAGACAUUCAAUUUUAGAUAGUGACUGUCACUUCUAAUUUGUUACUCUUUGCACAUAUAAUAGCGACAUAUUCUUGCUGUGGAUAAGAAAAUUCAAAAGUUUCUGUAGAAUGGUAAAGGUGAAAGUUAAAUUACAGUUGAUUGAGGAAUAAAUGAAAAGUGAUGACGUAGCAUAGAGUGUAGACAACUCUUUCAAGAAUUUUUUUUCCAUGAAGGAAAGAGGAAAAGCCUCUAAUAGGGAUAUUACCAUAAAGGAGGUUUCUUUCAAAUUUGUCUAAUGGUUAUUUUAUACCAUUGUGUAGUUUGAGCCUCUGACCUCCCCUUUAUUAUAAUUGAGUCACUGCCCAAUCUACUGUGAAAACAAUGAACUAUUUCACCUCAUGCUGAUCCACAUAAUUAAGUAAUUAUAUAAAUAACACACUAGUAAAUAUGGAAACCUGGCAAGUUUGCAGUUUCCACAAUAAAUUGAAUUAGAUGAUGAUUUGGAUCAUUUUCUUCUAUCAGCUAGAUUUCAUCAAUAUUGAAAUUUGUUUUUCAGUUCACCAAAGGAUGAUUAGGCAGUCAGAUGACUAACUGACUAAAUGUUCCCCAUAUAUAUAUUCUGAGUCAUUUGUAAAUAUUACACAGCAACAGAUUCUAUCCAAAGAAUCUCUUUGGGGGAAAUAGGGAAACAUUUUAAUGUUUUCUGCCUAACAUUGUCAUUUCUGUUUUAUAAAAUCAUAGUACAGUUGGAAACCUUGGGAGAUAAUCUCCCUCCAGGCAAAAUAACACCAUUUUGUGCUCUUUUAUGAAGUUCUAUAUGUACAGAUCCAGCAUUUCCCCCUUUGCAGCACAGCAUAAUAUUUCACCACCUUUAUAAUGAGGAAUUUUUCCCUUGUUUAUACUAAAAAUUGUUUUUGCAGCACAGUAUAAACAUUGAAAUAGGUAGUUUAAUAACUGUAUUAAUACUAUGCAAUACAAAUGUUUGAAAUUUAAGAGUUCACACAUCCUAUUGCUGACAGCAUGGCAACUUAAUUAAGUUUUCAGAUAUUGAACUGCUUUCCUAAGCAGCAUCUUAAGUGCACAAAGAUUUCAGUGUUCUCAUGAAACAACUGUUGACAGGUAUCUUUAUAGAGAAAAUAUGGAGGUGGAUGUGUUUUCACAAAGAAAUCAUUUAUAAUUUUAAGUAAGGAUCUAUCAAAAAUAUAUCUCAUACCAUUUAUAAAUUUAAAGUUGUGAUUAAUUUAGUCAUAUUCCAAAGAUAUAUUUUGACACUCUUCAUCUUAAAUAUAGUCUCAUAGAAAACCUAAGGUUUGUUAUUAUCUAUCUUCGUGGUUGGAAGACUGCCUAUAUUUUUCUGUAUCCUCCUUUAAUUUGUAUGUCUUGAUGAGAUGCCCAUAGAUACAUCUGACUGCAGUGUGUUGACUAUAGACAAACUCAUCACAGAACAUUCUCUUUUGAGUUGAAAGGUGAAGGCCAUAUACAGUAGGGUAUGAGUGAUGUUUCAUGUGAUCCUCCCAAUUUAAUCAGUACCAUGGAGUGAAUGCAAAAUCUUGUUAACUAUUCUUAGAUUCUCCCCAAAUUUUAAAAUUUAAAUUCACAUUUUUAUAGCUGGAUUCUUUUAAUGACCAUUUGAUCUAACUUUUUCUUAGUAAUUAGUAUGUGUUUUCUUUAACUUUUAUGUACAUUACGGCUACCUUAUAGUAACUGGUUGGGUAGAAACUUUUUAUUUUAAUUUUGGAAGAUUUUAUGAAUGAUCAACUCUAAAGUGACAGGGUCUACUUAAAAAUCAAAGUGUGUCUUAAUAGUAAAUUAGAUCUUUUGUAUCAUGAGGUAUAUUCAUUCUAAUUAUAAUGACAAUUUAAACUGUAUACAUUAAUGUUUUGUAAUAGAAUAUUUUCCAUAUUAUGAUGUCACCUGUGUCUCUCCUUGACAGUGUAACACUGGUACUUUUCUCUUACUCAAUUUCAAAAUUAUUUGAAUGUCUACUAUUUGUUACGCAUAGACUAAUAUGUAAGAAUUCCAAGUACAGAUUCAUGAAUAUAUUAAGUUUUGAAGAUUUUGAGUUUUUUGUUUGCUUGUUUGUUGUUUUUGAUCAGCAGAGGGCAGGGAUUCUAUCUUUAAUUUGUUCUUUUCUUGCUAUAAUUUGGCUAACAGCAGUGUACCCAGAAGUCAGAAGAAACACAUGCGAACACAUGCUAUAUUCUUUUCAAAAAAGUAUUAGAGAUGUCAUAUUACAAACCUUACAAUGAAAACAAGCUACUCUUUCCAUGUUAUAUUUACUUCAAGGUGAAUUUUUUAUGAAAAAAAAAAUCCUUUGCUCUGUUUAGUAUUGUAUUUAACUCUAUUUUGUACUGAAUGGCAAAUAUGCUUUU